rnacentral:rRNA from 1 species
CCUACGGGUGGCAGCAGUGAGGAAUAUUGGUCAAUGGACGGAAGUCUGAACCAGCCAUGCCGCGUGCAGGAUGACGGCUCUAUGAGUUGUAAACUGCUUUUGUACGAGAAUAAUAGUUCUUACGUGUAGGGAUUUGAAUGUAUCGUACGAAUAAGGAUCGGCUAACUCCGUGCCAGCAGCCGCGGUAAUACGGAGGAUUCGAGCGUUAUCCGGAUUUAUUGGGUUUAAAGGGUGCGUAGGCGGUCCGGAAAGUCAGCGGUAAAAGCCCGGGGCUCAACCCCGGCGAGCCGUUGAAACUGUCGGACUAGAGACGGCGAGAAGUACGCGGAAUGCGCGGUGUAGCGGUGAAAUGCAUAGAUAUCGCGCAGAACUCCGAUUGCGAAGGCAGCGUACCGGCGCCGGACUGACGCUGAGGCACGAAAGCGUGGGUAUCGAACAGGAUUAGAUACCCCUGUAGUC